AACUUCGGUAGGUUAACAUGAGGAAGGAUCACUUCCGUAGGUGAACCUGCGGAAGGAUCAUUAAGAAUUAUAAAUAUUUGUGAAAUUUACACAGCAAACAAUAAUUUUAUAGUCAAAACAAAAAUAAUCAAAACUUUUAACAAUGGAUCUCUUGGUUCUCGUAUCGAUGAAGAACGCAGCGAAACGCGAUAUUUCUUGUGAAUUGCAGAAGUGAAUCAUCAGUUUUUGAACGCACAUUGCACUUUGGGGUAUCCCCCAAAGUAUACUUGUUUGAGCGUUGUUUCUCUCUUGGAAUUGCAUUGCUUUUCUAAAAUUUCGAAUCAAAUUCGUUUGAAAAACAACACUAUUCAACCUCAGAUCAAGUAGGAUUACCCGCUGAACUUAAGCAUAUCAAUAAGCGGAGGAAGCGGAGGAGCAUAUCAUUAAGCGGAGGA
rnacentral:rRNA from 1 species